UGUCUGGGAAACUGCCUGAUGGAGGGGGAUAACUACUGGAAACGGUAGCUAAUACCGCAUAACGUCGCAAGACCAAAGAGGGGGACCUUAGGGCCUCUUGCCAUCGGAUGUGCCCAGAUGGGAUUAGCUAGUAGGUGGGGUAAAGGCUCACCUAGGCGACGAUCCCUAGCUGGUCUGAGAGGAUGACCAGCCACACUGGAACUGAGACACGGUCCAGACUCCUACGGGAGGCAGCAGUGGGGAAUAUUGCACAAUGGGCGCAAGCCUGAUGCAGCCAUGCCGCGUGUAUGAAGAAGGCCUUCGGGUUGUAAAGUACUUUCAGCGGGGAGGAAGGGAGUAAAGUUAAUACCUUUGCUCAUUGACGUUACCCGCAGAAGAAGCACCGGCUAACUCCGUGCCAGCAGCCGCGGUAAUACGGAGGGUGCAAGCGUUAAUCGGAAUUACUGGGCGUAAAGCGCACGCAGGCGGUUUGUUAAGUCAGAUGUGAAAUCCCCGGGCUCAACCUGGGAACUGCAUCUGAUACUGGCAAGCUUGAGUCUCGUAGAGGGGGGUAGAAUUCCAGGUGUAGCGGUGAAAUGCGUAGAGAUCUGGAGGAAUACCGGUGGCGAAGGCGGCCCCCUGGACGAAGACUGACGCUCAGGUGCGAAAGCGUGGGGAGCAAACAGGAUUAGAUACCCUGGUAGUCCACGCCGUAAACGAUGUCGACUUGGAGGUUGUGCCCUUGAGGCGUGGCUUCCGGAGCUAACGCGUUAAGUCGACCGCCUGGGGAGUACGGCCGCAAGGUUAAAACUCAAAUGAAUUGACGGGGGCCCGCACAAGCGGUGGAGCAUGUGGUUUAAUUCGAUGCAACGCGAAGAACCUUACCUGGUCUUGACAUCCACGGAAGUUUUCAGAGAUGAGAAUGUGCCUUCGGGAACCGUGAGACAGGUGCUGCAUGGCUGUCGUCAGCUCGUGUUGUGAAAUGUUGGGUUAAGUCCCGCAACGAGCGCAACCCUUAUCCUUUGUUGCCAGCGGUCCGGCCGGGAACUCAAAGGAGACUGCCAGUGAUAAACUGGAGGAAGGUGGGGAUGACGUCAAGUCAUCAUGGCCCUUACGACCAGGGCUACACACGUGCUACAAUGGCGCAUACAAAGAGAAGCGACCUCGCGAGAGCAAGCGGACCUCAUAAAGUGCGUCGUAGUCCGGAUUGGAGUCUGCAACUCGACUCCAUGAAGUCGGAAUCGCUAGUAAUCGUGGAUCAGAAUGCCACGGUGAAUACGUUCCCGGGCCUUGUACACACCGCCCGUCACACCAUGGGAGUGGGUUGCAAAAGAAGUAGGUAGCUUAACCUUCGGGAGGGCGCUUACCACUUUGUGAUUCAUGACUGGGGUGAAGUCGUAACAAGGUAACCGUAGGGGAACCUGCGGUUGGAUCACCUCCUUACCUUAAAGAAGC
rnacentral:rRNA from 1 species